GACGAACGCUGGCGGCGUGCUUAACACAUGCAAGUCGAACGGUGACGAGGAGCUUGCUCCUCUGAUCAGUGGCGAACGGGUGAGUAACACGUGAGCAACCUGCCCCAGACUCUGGGAUAACAGUUGGAAACAGCUGCUAAUACCGGAUACGAGACGGAGAGGCAUCUCUACCGUCUGGAAAGUUUUUCGGUCUGGGAUGGACUCGCGGCCUAUCAGCUAGUUGGUGAGGUAAUGGCUCACCAAGGCGACGACGGGUAGCCGGCCUGAGAGGGCGACCGGCCACACUGGGACUGAGACACGGCCCAGACUCCUACGGGAGGCAGCAGUGGGGAAUAUUGCACAAUGGGCGAAAGCCUGAUGCAGCGACGCCGCGUGAGGGAUGACGGCCUUCGGGUUGUAACCGUCUUCAGUCAGGAAGAAGACGAAGUAGACGGUACCUGCAGAAGAAGCACCGGCUAACUACGUGCCGGCAGCCGCGGUAAGUAGUCUACGG
rnacentral:rRNA from 1 species